rnacentral:rRNA from 1 species
CAUUUAUUAGAUAAAAAGCCAGUUCAUGCUUUUACAGUAUGAAAAUUGGUGAUUUAUAAUAACUUAGCAAAUCGCAAAGUGAAAACAGGCGAUAAAUCAUUCAAGUUUCUGACCUAUCAGCUUUCGACGGUAUGGUAUUGGCUUACCGUGGCAGUGACGGUUAACGGGGGAUUAGGGUUCGAUUCCGGAGAGGGAGCCUGAGAAACGGCUACCACAUCUAAGGAAGGCAGCAGGCGCGCAAAUUACCCAAUUCUAACAGUUUGAGAGAGGUAGUAACAAGAAAUAACAAUACAAGGCAGUUAAAAUGCUUUGUAAUUGGAAUGAUAGAAAUUUAAACCCUUUUUAAAGUAUCAAUUGGAGGGCAAGUCUGGUGCCAGCAGCCGCGGUAAUUCCAGCUCCAAUAGCGUAUAUUAAAAUUGUUGCAGUUAAAAAGCUCGUAGUUGAAGUUCUGCUGAAAGUAACCGGUCUGCUUUUAAUAAAAGUGGUAUCUUGGUAUGUAUUUAGCAAUGAUGUCCUUUGAAGUGUUUUUUACUUUAUUGUAAUAAAGCAUAUUCAGGACUUUUACUUUGAGAAAAUUAGAGUGUUUCUAGCAGGCUGACGCUUUGAAUACUGCAGCUGA